UAACGCGUGAGUAACCUGCCCAUAAGAGGGGGAUGAUCCAUGGAAACGUGGACUAAUACCGCAUAUUGUAGUUAAGUUGCAUGACUUGAUUAUGAAAGAUUUAUCGCUUAUGGAUGGACUCGCGUCAGAUUAGAUAGUUGGUGAGGUAACGGCUCACCAAGUCAACGAUCUGUAGCCGAACUGAGAGGUUGAUCGGCCGCAUUGGGACUGAGACACGGCCCAGACUCCUACGGGAGGCAGCAUG
rnacentral:rRNA from 1 species